UGCUCCCUCUCUCACAUCCCUUGCAUGGUGGAGGGUGAGCUUUCUGAAAACCCCUCCCACAUGCAGGGUUUGCAGGAUGGUGAGCC
ensembl:miRNA MIR188 microRNA 188